rnacentral:rRNA from 1 species
AUGCAGUACACCGGGCCAACCUACCGCUUACCCCCCCAUCGUACCGGAGAUGCUCUACCCCGCCAGGGUGUACGUCGAGAGCACCCUUCGUGUGUGGGCGAUGUCAAGGUGGAGGGGCGCAAGGGGGUUUACCGACUUCUUCCUUGGGGCCGGCUACGGGCACCUCCCUCAGGGAUCUCCAAGGAUGUACCGAGUCGAGGAGGUCAUCCACAAUGGGGUUGUGGUUGCUAUCCUUGCCCAGUUCACCAACCCCUUCGACGCGUUCUACCUCCUUGGCCGCGUGUUCUGGUGUGGUUGCGAGUUCAUAGCUUUCACCACCCAUAA